rnacentral:rRNA from 1 species
ACAGCAGUCGCCACGGUAAUACGGAGGAUCCAAGCGUUAUCCGGAAUCAUUGGGUUUAAAGGGUCCGUAGGCGGUCUUUUAAGUCAGUGGUGAAAGCCCAUCGCUCAACGGUGGAACGGCCAUUGAUACUGCAGGACUUGAAUUAUUGGGAAGUAACUAGAAUAUGUAGUGUAGCGGUGAAAUGCUUAGAGAUUACAUGGAAUACCAAUUGCGAAGGCAGGUUACUACCAAUUGAUUGACGCUGAUGGACGAAAGCGUGGGUAGCGAACAGGAUUAGAUACCCCUGUAGUCCCUGUCUCUUAUAC